rnacentral:rRNA from 1 species
AUUGAACGCUGGCGGCAUGCCUUACACAUGCAAGUCGAACGGCAGCACGGGUGCUUGCACCUGGUGGCGAGUGGCGAACGGGUGAGUAAUACAUCGGAACGUACCUUAUCGUGGGGGAUAACGCAGCGAAAGCUGUGCUAAUACCGCAUACGCCCUGAGGGGGAAAGCGGGGGAUCGCAAGACCUCGCGCGAUUAGAGCGGCCGAUGCCUGAUUAGCUAGUUGGUGGGGUAAAAGCCCACCAAGGCGACGAUCAGUAGCUGGUCUGAGAGGACGAUCAGCCACCCUGGGACUGAGAGACUGCCCAGACUCCUACGGGAGGCAGCAGUGGGGAAUUUUGGACAAUGGGGGCAACCCUGAUCCAGCAAUGCCGCGUGAGUGAAGAAGGCCUUCGGGUUGUAAAGCUCUUUUGUCAGGGAAGAAACACCGGCUCUAACACAGUCCGGGAAUGACGGUACCUGAAGAAUAAGCACCGGCUAACUACGUGCCAGCCGCCGCCGUAA